GAUCAUGGCUCAGGAUGAACGCUAGCUACAGGCUUAACACAUGCAAGUCGAGGGGAAACGACAUCGAAAGCUUGCUUUUGAUGGGUGUCGACCGGCGCACGGGUGAGUAACGCGUAUCCAACCUGCCCACCACUUGGGGAUAACCUUGCGAAAGUAAGACUAAUACCCAAUGACGUCUCUAGAAGACAUCUGAAAGAGAUUAAAGAUUUAUCGGUGAUGGAUGGGGAUGCGUCUGAUUAG
rnacentral:rRNA from 1 species